GUGCCAGCCGCCGCGGUAAUACCGGCAGCUCGAGUGAUGGCCACUCUUAUUGGGCCUAAAGCGUCCGUAGCUGGCCGCGCAAGUCCGUCGGGAAAUCCAUCAGCCCAACUGAUGGGCGUCCGGCGGAAACUGCACGGCUUGGGACCGGAAGGCUCGAGAGGUACGUCCGGGGUAGGAGUGAAAUCCCAUAAUCCCGCACGGACCACCGAUGGCGAAAGCGCCUCGGGAAGACGGACCCGACAGUGAGGGACGAAAGCUGGGAUCUCGAACCGGAUUAGAAACCCGUGUAGUCC
rnacentral:rRNA from 1 species